AGAUUAAGUUAUUAAGGGCGCACGGUGGAUGCCUUGGCACUAGAAGCCGAUGAAGGACGUUACUAACGACGAUAUGCUUUGGGUAGCUGUAAGUAAGCGUUGAUCCAGAGAUUUCCGAAUGGGGGAACCCAGCAUGAGUUAUGUCAUGUUAUCGACAUGUGAAUUCAUAGCAUGUCAGAAGGCAGACCCGGAGAACUGAAACAUCUUAGUACCCGGAGGAAGAGAAAGAAAAAUCGAUUCCCUGAGUAGCGGCGAGCGAAACGGGAAGAGCCCAAACCAACAAGCUUGCUUGUUGGGGUUGUAGGACACUCUAUACGGAGUUACAAAAGAACAUGUUAGACGAAUCAUCUGGAAAGAUGAAUCAAAGAAGGUAAUAAUCCUGUAGUCGAAAACAUAUUCUCUCUUGAGUGGAUCCUGAGUACGACGGAGCACGUGAAAUUCCGUCGGAAUCUGGGAGGACCAUCUCCUAAGGCUAAAUACUCUCUAGUGACCGAUAGUGAACCAGUACCGUGAGGGAAAGGUGAAAAGUACCCCGGAAGGGGAGUGAAAGAGAACUUGAAACCGUGUGCUUACAAGUAGUCAGAGCCCGUUAAUGGGUGAUGGCGUGCCUUUUGUAGAAUGAACCGGCGAGUUACGAUCUGAUGCAAGGUUAAGCAGCAAAUGUGGAGCCGCAGCGAAAGCGAGUCUGAAUAGGGCGUUGAGUAUUUGGUCGUAGACCCGAAACCAGGUGAUCUACCCUUGGUCAGGUUGAAGUUCAGGUAACACUGAAUGGAGGACCGAACCGACUUACGUUGAAAAGUGAGCGGAUGAACUGAGGGUAGCGGAGAAAUUCCAAUCGAACUUGGAGAUAGCUGGUUCUCUCCGAAAUAGCUUUAGGGCUAGCCUCAAGUGAUGAUUAUUGGAGGUAGAGCACUGUUUGGACGAGGGGCCCCUCUCGGGUUACCGAAUUCAGACAAACUCCGAAUGCCAAUUAAUUUAACUUGGGAGUCAGAACAUGGGUGAUAAGGUCCGUGUUCGAAAGGGAAACAGCCCAGACCACCAGCUAAGGUCCCAAAAUAUAUGUUAAGUGGAAAAGGAUGUGGCGUUGCCCAGACAACUAGGAUGUUGGCUUAGAAGCAGCCAUCAUUUAAAGAGUGCGUAAUAGCUCACUAGUCGAGUGACACUGCGCCGAAAAUGUACCGGGGCUAAACAUAUUACCGAAGCUGUGGAUUGUCCUUUGGACAAUGGUAGGAGAGCGUUCUAAGGGCGUCGAAGCAUGAUCGCAAGGACAUGUGGAGCGCUUAGAAGUGAGAAUGCCGGUGUGAGUAGCGAAAGACGGGUGAGAAUCCCGUCCACCGAUUGACUAAGGUUUCCAGAGGAA
rnacentral:rRNA from 1 species